rnacentral:ncRNA from 1 species
CCAUUGGUGCAGAUCUUGGUGGUAGUAGCAAAUAUUCAAGUGAGAUCCUUGAAGACUGAAGUGGAGAAGGAUUCUACGUGAACAGCAGUUGAAUGUGGAUCAGUCGAUUCCAAGAUUUUGGCUAAUUCCAUUUCAUAAAAUAGAAGAAUGAAGAUGUAAUCCAUCUAAUAAAUCGUGAGAGAAACCAGUUUAUAGUCCCGUAUCACAAGGAGAAGAUAAAUUCUCAUCAUGAGGAUUUAGCGCGGUAUGCAAAUGAACUCGGAAAUAUUGAGGAAAGCCCGAGCUAGAGUUCUCUUUUCUGAUUAAGGAAUGGACUCCCUGGAAUCGGUUGUUCAGCCGGAGAUAGGAAUGUUGUUUCCGUAAAGCGCCACGGUUCCUGUGGUUUCUCGUGAGCUUUGUUCGAUUCAUGAAAAAUCCAAGGGAGGCUAUUUGAAUUUUGUGUCAGAUUUUACCCAUAUCUGUAGCAUGUCUUCAAUGUGAACAACCUCUAGUCGACAGAAUAAUGUAGGUAAGGAAAGUUGGCAAACUGGGUCCGUAACUUCGGAAUAACGACUGGUCUAAGGACUGGGAUGAUGGGCUGUAAUGUGAAAUGAACACGGUUUAAUUCAUGCAAUGUAAUAUUAAUGCUUCAUUGAUGAAACUUGGCUAUUGUUCGAGCUGUUUUAUGGACCGUUAUAGCUGCGUAUCACAUUCACUUUUUUAACCAAAGGGAACGUUUAUCCAUACUUCGACUGGAGUUAAACAUUCAACUUAGAACUAGCACGGACUCGGGAAUCCGUCUGUCUAAUUAAAACGGAAAAGACAGAUGACCAUUGCAGGCAUUGAUUUAUGUCCAGUGCUCUGAAAAGUGAAGAAAUUCAACCAAGCUCGGCUAAACGGCGGGAGGAAAUAUCCUAUUAUACACUAACAUGAUCUCACAUUUCCGCGACGAAAUUACAUUUCCAUCAAAGCAAAAAAAAGCGAAUUAUAUCCCUCGA